UACAGAGGGGGCAAGCGUUAAUCGGAAUUACUGGGCGUAAAGCGUGCGCAGGCGGUGAUGUAAGACAGAUGUGAAAUCCCCCGGGCUCAACCUGGGAACUGCAUUUGUGACUGCAUCGCUAGAGUACGGCAGAGGGGGGGAUGGAAUUCCGCGUGUAGCAGUGAAAUGCGUAGAUAUGCGGAGGAACACCGAUGGCGAAGGCAAUCCCCUGGGCCUGUACUGACGCUCAUGCACGAAAGCGUGGGGAGCAAACAGG
rnacentral:rRNA from 1 species